UACGGAGGGGGCAAGCGUUGUUCGGAAUUACUGGGCGUAAAGGGCGCGCAGGCGGCUGCUCAAGUCAGGCGUGAAAGGCCUGGGCUCAACCCGGGAAUUGCGCUUGAGACUGGGCUGGCUUGAGUGCGGGAGAGGAUGGUGGAAUUCCCAGUGUAGCGGUGAAAUGCGCAGAUAUCAGGAGGAACACCGAUGGCGAAGGCAGACUCGUGG
rnacentral:rRNA from 1 species